GACACAGUGAGCGUUUUGGGGGACCACUUGGGCCCCGACAGUGGCUAAGGCUGCUAAGGCGAUCCACAUGCAGCAAACGAGGCAGUGUUCGUCGUUCGUUACCAGCCGGUCGAAUUCGGUGGAGAAAGCACCAAAAUGAAAAUCGAAGCACGCCGAACGUGCCCUCCGAUCACCCAGGUACAUAUAAGGAGAAAAGAGUAUGUUGUUGUUGGUAUUGUUGUUGUUGUUGUUGUUGUUUAAAUCACCGUGGGUCGUCGCAUUGUUGAGGUGUCCACAAAUAUUUUUUUUUUAUUAAUAUUAUUUAUUUAUGUAUGUGUGAACGCAGGAUGAAGGGUCGCGUAUGAAUCAUGAGUGUAGGAUGAAUAUUUUUUUUAUAUCAUAUAAAUAAAUUUUUUUUUUUUAAUCAUGUACCAGGGUGUUACGUAAUCGUCGCGGUUGUUAUUGUUGUUUUGAUGAGCGAUGAGCGGACACGGAGACGAGAAUGCAGCGACGGUGCACAUAUAUCAAAGCCAGCGUUCGAAUGUGUGUGUGUGUGUGUUUGUAUGAAAAUCGCGACCGGAUGUGAAAUAAAUACGAAGCAGAGAAAUUUGUUUCCGUGUGACGU